rnacentral:lncRNA from 1 species
UGGGGUGCCUGGUGGCAAAGAUGGGGGGGGGACUGUGCGCCCCAGCAGGCCCACUAAAUCCUGGGUGUCUAUCCCUAAAAAUCGAGGUCCCAUGUCAUGUUUCCGGGGUGCCCUGUGCUUGUGCAACAUGGGCGCGUGGUGCGAACCAACGUGCGUGGCACCCUAGGCCUCAGUGGUAGUGGAGGGACCUGUGCUCAGUUAGAGGGUUACAAGGUAGACGCAUCCCGGCCGACUGAGUUAAGGCGCAGGUAGCUGGGUAGAGGGUCCUCACAGGGACCUACUUGCCAAGCAGGGGACAGUCCCCUGGAUCUGCUCGGGCGGAGCGCGCAGCCUCCACCUGCCUAAGCAGGCAGGGCGGGCUGCGAGGCACCUCGAAUAGCAGCCAGAUAGAUCUUACUAAGUGCUCCUAACCUCUGCUUUGCCUGGGAUCUCCUAGCAGCCUUUGGGGGGCCACCAGGUGCACAAUGAAGGGAAGGCUGGCUUGGCCACGCCAGAUCUGGGCCCCGCGUGGAGCCCCCGCACAAUGUCUGCGCCCUUCAGCAGAAAAAGAAGCAGGGCGGGAAAUGUAGCUCAAACCAGACCUGUAAACCAGAGCUCACUGAAGUGCUUCUAAGCGGCGCGCCUUUGGGACCCCACCCAGUAUGUGCAGAUAACAGUUCCCUGUCCUCAGCACUUUGAAUUUGCUUAGUUGCAGGUUCGGCCCCAGGGGCCAAUGCGAUAAUUUGGGGCUAUUAAGAAACUCUCCCCGGGUGGUUUCAGAUAUAAGAAGCCAUUGUGAUUUUUACCAAGUCAAAAUCACUCCUAAACCGGUGCACCUCGUUUCCCUCUCCCGACCUCCGCACCUCUAGGCCUCUAAGGGGCCACUACUGGCGGAAACCGGUGCACCCGGGGCUAACCUCCGGGCCGGACCAUCAAUCACCGCGCCGGCGCUCUACACUCGCUUCCCCAAGCCCUCGACCUGUAGGGUUGGAGGCUCCAAGCCGCCCGAGCGCUCUGCCCUUCCCGCUUCCUGGCGGCCCAGGCGCUUUCCCUAUCACCGCGUUGUUUGCAGAGUGCACACAAAGUGGCGCGCGUUUCGGAGCGCCCAGCCCAAAGGAGCGUGGCCGCCGAGGGAGAAGCCAGCAGCCUGCUCCCGCGCUACUCCGCAGCAGCCCUGAGGACAAACUGCGAGGGAGCCGGUGUCCCGCAGUGGAAGAGCUGGGACACGAGGGAGCGCGCCACGGGGAGCUCACCACAAGGCCGAAGGUCGGGUCCGCUGGCGCAGGAGGAUCGGAGGAGCAGGGCGGGAGAGCGGAUGAAGUGGGAGCUGCUGAAGUGGACGCUGCUGAAGAGGUCUAUGGAGAAGCUGCUGACUCACACCCCGGAGAUGAACUCCUGGACUUUGCCAGGGUCCCCAGCAUGCUCUUCCUCAUGCCUGUGAUGGGUGCCUGCCACAGAGGACACACUCAACUGGGCUGCGAUCUUGGACACCACAUAGGGACUCCACACCAGGAAGACCCAAGCAAUGCUCUGUGCCAAUCUGCAAGCCUGGGAAGAAGUCACUACCUGAACCACCAACAUGAGGAUUGCACCAAACUGAUCAACACAACCCACACCAAAAAUUCUUUCCUCAUCUGGAACCCUGCCUUUCCCGCUGGAGCUGUCUGACCUUCCCCCUUCCCCAGCACUUGCUACCUUUGCCCCUGGACUCCCAGGAGCAUUACAGAGACUGCUGCCUCAUGUCUGCUUGGCUUACACCCCUUGUUCCCAAGGAGUAACACCUGGAGUGCACCUGAAUCCCGGAUACUGUGACUGACUAGACUUCCUAGCCUUGGCUGGUUCCUUGGCUGAGUCUUGCAUUUGCAGGAGCUCUCAUGUUCCUGUGCUAGAGAUACCUCUGUUCUGCUGUAUACCUGAAGGACACUCACCUCUGAGGAAGGACUGGGGCUGGUGGGAGGUUUCUGAGGUUUCAUUCAGUUCUGGGAGCGUGGGGAUCUCCUGGGCCACAGGCCACAGCACUUGGGCACGGGGCUGGAGUCUCGGGAUGCUCUGGUCUGUUUCUUCUCAGGUUCUGCCUCAGGCUUCAGCUCGGGCUCAGGUUCAGGCUCGGGCUUCAGCUCAGGCCUCGGUGGCAGAGGCCUCGGCUCGGGCCUUGGUGGCAGAGGCCUCAACUCAGGCCUUGGUGGCAGAGGCCUCAGCUCAGGCCUUGGUGGCAAGGGCCUCAGCUCAGGCCUCAGUAGCAGAGGUCUCAGCUCAGGCCUCGGUGGCACAGGCCUCGGUUCAGACCUCAGUAGCAGAGGUCUCAGCUCAGGCCUCGGUGGCAGAGGCCUCCGCUCAGGCCUAGGUGGAACAGGCCUUGGCUCAGGCCUUGGUGGUACAGGCCUUGGCUCAGGCCUAGGUGGUACAGGCCUCGGCUCAGGCUUUGGUGGCUCAGGCCUUGGCUCAGGCUUAGGUGGCUCAGGCCUUGGCUCAGACUUAGGUGGCUCAGGCCUUGGCUCAGGCUUAGGUGGCUCAGGCCUCGGCUCAGGCUUAGGUGGCUCAGGCCUUGCCUCAGGCUUAGGUGGCUCAGGCCUGGGCUCAGGCUUAGGUGGCUCAGGCCUCAGCUCAGGCCUUGGUGGCACAGGCCUGGACUUAGGCUUCUGCGGCUCUGGCUGGGUGAGAAGUUUAGCCUUAGGAGACUCAGAACCCUGGGUUAGGGGCCUGCAGUCGUCGUAGUCGUUCUCCUCUUCCUCCUCCUCCUCUUGCACAGUGAGCUCUGUUUUAAUUACUCGUCCCCUGAGGAGGAGAAGCAAAAAUCCUUGAGAUUAUCUCAAAAACAAGUCUUCUCCAGCUGAGUCUGGCCCCCUCCCCCCACCUUGCUGCUGGAUGGGGAAGCCCAAGGGUCACCUUGUCAUGGUUGGAGCACAACCCCCUACCCUGUCCCUUCAGCUGCCUACUCUCCCCACCCCCUUCUCAGUAGAAGGGAGGAAGCAGUUGGUGAGAAGUCACUUUGCCAAGUUUGACAACUGUUCAGGGAGAGGCAGGAGACCCUCCUUUGGGAAGGACAAUCUGGCUCCUGCCUGGCUGGGGGCGGGGGUGGUGGUGGUGUAAAACUGCUGCUGCACACAAAAGGCUUUCUUUGAGGGGGUCACAGCUAAAAAUGUGAAUCUCUCCCAUUCCUCUCCUCACACUUCUUCCUUGGAUGGGAACAAAAAACAAAGGGCACAUGGCUCUGCCUUAGGAAGGCAACUUCUGGAAGGGGUGGCAAGGCUUCUCCCCAUAAACAUUAUACCGGGUGGAUUAAGGAGUCUGGGAUCCCAGUUGCAGGGAAGAAAAGCUUUGUGCACAAAUGAAUGUGCACCUGGGAGUGCUGAGGCUGCUGCUCCAAAUUCCUGCCUGUGCACAGGGAACACUGCUCCAGAAUCUCUGGCCCCUCUGCACAGUUUAGCCGGGAGCGGGGUGGGGGUGGGGGGAGGAGCAGGGGCGGGGGUCAUACACCAGGGGGAAAAUUUUCACACAGAAAAAUUUCACAUUUGCAAAAACAGCUGUGUACUCCUGCUGGGAAGAGAAAGAGCGCUGCCUCUCCCCUUUGCAUGGUAGAUUAGCGAAAGAAACCAUGCUUUCCUUGUAGCUUUGAGCAGCCCUGUAAGUCCCAGUCCCAGUCCCAGUUGUCCUUUUGUCCCCUCAGAAGUUGAAGUCACUCUUAAGACCGUCCCGUCCGGUUUAGCGGCAACCUUCCCCCUCUUCAGAGACUAACUGAAGGAUCCUAACUCUCCCAAGUCCCCAGCCAUCUACCCACACCAGAAUAUUUAAACUGCACCUUCACUCAUACACAAAAGGCAUGAACAAGGGGAAAUCAAUUAGUUACCUGUACUCUAGUCGCUUCGUAGUUCCUGAAGUUCCCGGACGGUGGAUAAAGAGGACCGGGGAGUCACUGGUGCCCAAGAUUCUCUUCCGAAAUUGCCCGGACGAUGAUCCGCUGGCUGGGUCAAUAUUAGCAGCCCCCUCCAAAGCAGGGGGUGCUCUGGUUGUGGUGCCCGGGCCCUCCAGCCGGGGCGACGAUGUUGCGGCGGGGCUGGAAGGGCUGGAAGGGGCUGAGUCUGAGUCUGAAGAGACGGUGAGAGGGAGUUUUAGAGCAUGCAUGAUAACAGAGCCCCUAGAAGUGGCUUCUGCUCUCCACCACCGAGUAAGGCACCUGCUCGAACGACACCACGCUUUUAUCCCUCACCUCGUCCCUUCCACGCCCACUUCCAGCCCCCUCCAAAUUUGGGAAAUGAUAUGCCAGUAAAGUACUGCAAAGACUUAUGGGUCAGCUGGCUAUGGCGCUUUCCCACACUAGGGUAUGGGGGCAUUAGAGGGUGGGGCUUUGGCCCCUGCCUGACAGACAGGAAGGCGUCUAUGUAGGUUUGAAUUAAGCUAGAAGCACUUCCUGUUAGCUAGGGGGUAGGGACUAUGUGCAGGGGUGGGGAGUGGGUGGGGCUUCACUGGAUUGACACCUGGCAGUCACCUGACACCUGGAAUGUCUGUGGGCGUGGCACAGGUAAAAAGGGGCGUGGCUUAUGCAAAUUAGGGUCCGGAUUUAAAAUAAAUAUUAUAAUUACGUUCUAAGGUC